CUGGCCCUGACGUCAUUUUCGUGGCUCCAACAUCUCUGGGCUGAAGUCACGUGAAUGUUGGCAAAACAUGGUUGUUUCGUGUUGCGCUUAUGGCUGUACUCAGCGUUUUGUCGGGGAAAUGGCAUUACAUUUCACGUGUUCUGUAAGGAUGAAAACCGAAGGCAGCUUUGGAUACAGG